rnacentral:rRNA from 1 species
AACGAACGCUGGCGGCAGGCCUAACACAUGCAAGUCGAGCGCCCCGCAAGGGGAGCGGCGGACGGGUGGAGUAACGCGUGGGAACGUGCCCUCUUCUACGGAAUAGCCUCGGGAAACUGGGAGUAAUACCGUAUACGCCCUUAGGGGGAAAGGAUUUAUCGGAGGAGGAUCGGCCCGCGUUGGAUUAGGUAGUUGGUGGGGUAAUGGCCUACCAAGCCGACGAUCCAUAGCUGGUUUGAGAGGAUGAUCAGCCACACUGGGACUGAGACACGGCCCAGACUCCUACGGGAGGCAGCAGUGGGGGAAUCUUAGACAAUGGGCGCAAGCCUGAUCUAGCCAUGCCGCGUGAGCGAUGAAGGCCUUAGGGUUGUAAAGCUCUUUCAGGGGGGAAGGAUAAUGACUGUACCCCCAGAAGAAGCCCCGGCUAACUCCGUG